rnacentral:tRNA from 1 species
UGACGAGUCAAGUGUCAGGCCGAAGAACGUCCGGUUUGCAACCGGAAGGUCGCGGGUUCAAAUCCCGCCCGGUCCACCA